GUUAUAGUUUAUUUGAUACAUUAAAUGGAUAACUGUAGAAAAACUAGAGCUAAUACAUGCCAAGGCCGCAAGGUCGUAUUUAUUAGAUAACUUAAAUAUGAAUCAUAGUAACUUAGCAAAUCUCAAUUUCAUUGAGAUAUAUCAUCCAAGUUUCUGCCCUAUCAGCUUUCGAUGGUAGUGUAUUGGACUACCAUGGCUCUCACGGGUAACAGGGAAUUAGGGUUCGAUUCUGGAGAAGGAGCCUGAGAAACGGCUACUACAUCUACGGAAGGCAGCAGGCGCGUAAAUUACCCAAUCCUGACUCAGGGAGGUGGUGACAAGAUAUAAUGACGCUAUGAAAAAUAGUGAUUAUAGUGAGGGUAUUCCAAACCGAACCACAAGUACGAUUAGAGGGCAAGUCUGGUGCCAGCAGCCGCGGUAAUUCCAGCUCUAAUAGCGUAUAUUAAAGUUGCUGCAGUUAAAAAGCUCGUAGUUGGAUUUCAAGGAACACGUAUUCCCCCGGAAUAUGUGCCCUACUAGCCCUGGGCUGUUACUGUGAGAAAAUUAUAGUGUUUAAAGCAAGCUUUUGCAAGAAUACAUUAUCAUGGAAUAACGAAUGAGUCUAGAAUCUAGGUUUAAUUCUAGAUCUCGAUUAAUAGAGACCGUUGGGGGCAUUAGUAUUUAAUUGU
rnacentral:rRNA from 1 species